GAAACUGCUGAAAUAACAAAAAUGAUGCAAAGCUUUCAAACCUCAAAUAAUGCAAAGAAAAAAGUUUGUUUAUAACUUUUUAAGAGUUCAGAAAUUAAUAUUUGGUGGAAUAACCCUGGUUUUUCAUGCAUCUUGUCAUGUUUUCCUCCACCAGUUUUACACACUGCUUUUGGAAAACUUUAUGCCACUCCUGGUGCAAAAAUUCAAGCAGUUCAGCUUCAGGUUUGAUGGCUUGUGAUCAUCCAUCUUCCUCUUAAUUAUAUAUUCCAGAGGUUUUCAAUUUGGUAAAAUCAAAGAAAAUAUAUAUAUUUUAAGUGGGCUGUAUAUUUCUAAAUGUACUUGGUUACUUUAUUAUUCUUUGUGUUUGUAUUUAGCCAGUCUUCGCUUAAAUUUUUUUGUGUUUUGGGGUUUUUAUUUUCUAUAAAAUAUGCUAUUUUUGUGUUAAACUUUUGCCAUAAAAAAUCUCCUUAGCAGUUUUAGUAAGAAGAUGUACUUUUAGAAUACGUAGACAAAAUUAGUGACAGAACAGGGGCACUUCAGUGGCUCAAUAGGAUUUUAGCCGGGGCCAUUGAGCCUGUGGCCCUGCCUCUAGAGUUGCUAGUGAAAAACAAUUAUAUUAAAGGUCAGAGAGAGAGAGAACUGUUGGUGGAUAUACAUGUAUACUAAUGUUUUGUAUAACCAUAUUUUAUACCUUCACUGAUUUAUCCUGUAUCUGUUGUGUUUUGCAUUUUCUGCUGCCUUAUCUGGGUAACAAGUUCAUCAUACCAGCACUUUGCAUAAACAAAAUGAUCGGGAUUAAGUAUGACGUGACUCUUCCUGUAGCCGCUGGUGCACUGUUUGUGGCCAUCCCAUACAGCAUCUCACUAUUUGCCCAGUGGUUGUAUGGGUGGCCCAACAAGCCAGGCUACAAAAAGUAUAUAGAGGCACUGAGACCCAGGUAAGAUAUGCUGAACAUAUACAUUAGCAAUAUACAUUCCCCUCCAAAAGUAUUGGAACAGUGAGACCAAUCCCUUUAUUUUUGCUUCAGUGUGGAAACAUUUGGGUUUGACAUUAAAAGAUGAAUAUGAGACAAAAGAUC
rnacentral:lncRNA from 1 species